UCACUCUACUGAAAAUCCAGUUGUACGGUUAGCAAAAACCUCUGGCAGACAAACAGCUCCAUCUUUCCAGCCCUCCCCUCCUGCACCCCACAGAAUGGCUGGGAGGCCAAGGAAGACUGCGAAGGGAAGAGGGCCUCCCCUUCCAUGAAGGCCACUGGUGUUCUGCUCAGGACCCACGCCCCACUGUUACCAGGUCAGUCACUCGUGUCCUCAGCCACUCGUGGGUAUAGAAUCCAUGCCCACAGUGGCCGGAUACUGUGCGCAACACCAAGGGUCAGUGGCUUUCAAAACAGGUGCGGCCCUCGCUCACUGCUGGGACAAGCAUGAGUCAGGUCCAGAUGCCUGUGAGCCAGCAGGGGUCUCAGAGUCUGAGACCCUCGGCAGCGAUGACUGAGCUUGGAUCAGAGUGAAGUCAGCGACCACACCAAGAGAGGGAGGAGGAGGUGCCAGCACGGGCCAAGCCCCUGCAGCUGGGAAGAAAGCAGGCUGUGGCCACGGGCAGAGGAGCUGGGCCUUCCCGGCCUCCACGUCCGCCUGAGGCAGAGCAGUGGGAAGACAGUGUGGUGACGAGCCGAGGGGCCUGACUCCGUUUGCAUUGUUUGUAUUCCCUUGAUCGCCUCGUGAAAACUGGCCAAGAGGGCAGGAAUGGGCCAGACAGACCAGUGUCUCCACAGACACCGCGGCAGCCUAAGCCCAGGGGGGAGGUGCUGGAGAGAGAGCCAGGCCACCAGGAGAAAGACAGGAGGUCUAGGCUUUCCGGAGUGGAGAAGCUGUCCAGGCUCCCUGGCCUUUGCAACCGGCUGGUUAAACUGAGGUCACUCAGCCAGGGAACGGCCAGCGGUGGUUUGGUGAAAGCCAGUUAAGUUGUGCCCAGCUUGGGCUCAAAAUGCCUUUCAGAUUUCCAAGAGCUCCCCUCAGCAUCCAUUCGGCCGAAGCAGAGGCUGCCGACCCCAAACAGGCCCCCCGGAGAGGAGGGCAGAGCCCGACGCGUGGUGACAGGUGUGAACGCUGAAGCAGUGUGGGGUGGGGAAGGUGAAGCUGAGAAAGCGCUGCUGGGCCCAGCUGUGGGGCUCCAGAGAGCAGCCUGUGGGUGCAGAGCAGAGGGGGGCCACUGACACCAGGACAGUGGACUUGGGACUCCUGUCUGCUUGGUUUCAUCAGGAAGGGAGGAAGUGGAUGGGAAGAGGAGAAAAAGGUGUGAAGAUUUGGCUUCGGUGGAAGAACUAUGGGGGUGUCUAAUCCCCAGCAAGCAUGGUACACAGGUGGUGCCCACGGCCUCUGGAGAGCCCAGACACCAGGCUGUGCCAGUCGGACGAAGUCACUUUACUACUCAAUACUUGCAGCGUAGAGGAGAGAGCUUCCUUCUGUCCGUGUUUGGCAGAUGUGAGCACAGGUACAGAACGGCGGAAGGGUCUGGCAGAAGACGGCUGCUCACCUCAUGGCCUCCAGGAAGCAGCGAGAGCAGGGAGGCGCCGGGUGGGGGAGACCCUUCCAGGUCACACCCCAGUGACUGCCCUUUCCUUCUGCAAGUUGCCACCUUCCACAAGCCCCGCCUCUGAGUACAUGUGGCUCCCCAGGGGCAUGAGACUAAUCCAACACUGUCUUUAUGAUACUCCUAGGAUGCCUGGCACCCGGGCAGCUUGCUUGCCUGUGGGACAUCUGGGACCUGCAGGGGCAGUGCUGCCACCAGAGGGUGGACAGAACCCCAUCCCUGAUAGGGUGAUUCUCAUCUGGGCCUCAUGCGGACCCCCAGGACGCGAGCCCCAGGGCCCUGAGCUGGGCGCCGAUCUGCAGCCCCCUUCACAGUGACUCCUUUUCUGUCUGCCACCCCAUGCUCCCUGCCAGAGUCACCCAAGCCCACACCCCAGGUCUCUUGGGGUGGGGACGGAACAGGUGUGAGGUGAAUAUCCCAGAAGCUGUUGGCUGCCCUGCCCUGGCCCUAGAGCCUUCUGCGACUCACCAUGGCCCAACAAAUGACCCCCGGGAAGCUGUAAGAAAGAUAAAGACGAGAUCUACAAUGUCCCCCUACAGUCUCCUCUGUGAAAGGACUGGUCCUUGGGGCGCCAUACUGGUCAGUGGGUCCAUCCACGGGUGAGAGGGUUUUUCCUCUGCCAUCACCUUCCACCAGCUGACCAUGGAACCAGCUGACCACAGAACCAACUGACUAUGGACUAAAACUGCAAGCCACAGUGAACCUCGCCUCCUCUAAGUUGGGGGUGUCGGCCGUUGUGUCCCAGUGACAGGGAAAGUGACCAGGACAGUGCCUAUAGCCUUAGGCAGGGCCAUGGAGAGCCAGGGGAGCCCUGGCCCUGACCACUGACCUCUAGCUGCAACCAGAGAGGGGACAGAGGAGCAGGGCCUCUGGGGUAGCUCCUUCCUCAGGGGCCAAGAGAAGGGGAGAGAAGGGAGGCUCCGUGUGGGGUCCCUGCAGUGCCCCGUGUCACUCCUCAGCUCAGCUUCCUCUCUCCCAAGAUGGUGGACCGUGAUCCGAGUCAUCCACAGCCAAGGCAGAACUGCGGGAGGGGUCUCCUCCUCACUCCUGCCAGGUUCGCCCCCCGCGGAAGGUGGGGCAAAGCUGCAGUCUCAGUCACCGUAGAGGCCGGGCUGGGAUAGAGGCACUGAGGGCCCCCAGGCUGAGGGUCCACACCUCACUCUUGCUACCCCCAGAGCACGUGCCCCACGCACCCAACAAUCCCCACUGGCUCUGGCCACAGGUCCCUGGCUGGGUGCUUCCGCCAGGCCAUGGGGAAGCGACAAACUCCUCCCUCCUUCCUGGGAUGCCAAGAUCCAGCAGGGAGGGGUCAGGUCUUCAGCAGCGCAAGAACCAGGUGCACCUCCCACCGCAGCACUUGCAGCCCACGAGGGUCAGGGAAGGCCGGGAAGGAGGGGGCAGCAGAGAUGGGAAUCGGCCUGCAGUUCCCACCCAGGCUUACCCUCCUGCACCCCUCGCACUCCUUAUAAGUGGCCUAGAGAAGCCCCCACAGUGACCACGAACAGAAGGGGCACAGAGGGCUGGCGAGAAGGCCAAGGCCAAGGUGGGGCGCUAGGGGGAGCAUCUGCUCGGAGGAAGGUGCUCCUCGCAUCCCACGGUCUCAGUAAGCAGCAGAUGGGAAACGGGCCCUCGCUCAGGUCUUUCCCUCUCCAGCCUCACUCAGCCAUCGGCUCCAGAUGCACUCGCCCUUCCUCCCUUCACCCUGCGCUGGGUUGGACGCAGGCUGGGCUUAGGGUCACUGAGGCCGAGGUCCCGCACGCCCGGGAGAAGAGGCCACAGUCAGACCCCCGUGGGUGUGGGGCCCUGAGGGAGUCGGAUGGGCAGCCAGGCAGCUUCGGGGGACAGGAGGUCAGCUAGGGUGACCCCAGUGCCACGGGACCCGCUGAGGAAGCCGGCCGGGAGCAGCUGUGCACCGGGCCCGAGAUGCUGCAGUCACUCUAAGGGCCUGGCACGGGUCCUGGAGUCCUGGGCUGUGGCGGGGCUCUGGGGGUGAGCUCUCCCCGCCCACACCAGGCUGGCGUCGCCGGAGGUCUGGGGCAGAUCCCUUGCCUACUCCUCCCGCCGGCCCUCCAUGUCCACACUGGGUGUUCUGCGUCUUUCUCUUGGACCUGUGCCAGUGGUGCCAAUGCCAGGGGCAACGCCGUCCAGACAGCUUCAGGGCCCUCCGUCCUCACUGUCACAGACUGUUCCAAAGCCCCUCACCCCAUCUCCUGGCUGACUCCGUCUCCACCCCAGGCUCUCCUCCUCCCGCCUCCAUCUUGGUGUCCUCUCUGGCAGGGAUUUCUGUGGAGCUCAGGGCACAGGUCAUCCUCCUUGUGCUUCCGCAACGGACAGCAACAUCUCUGUGACUGAAAACAAAGGUGUCUCUCACGGCCCGCGACCAUCAUGACCAGGUCUCUCGCGAUGGCCACACCUGGCUGUCUGUACCCUGCCUGCCCAGGGCUGUUUGUCCGGAUCCCAAGCUCCCACACAGGUUUGCUGAGGGCGGGAGGUGGCACCGCACCCACGAGGCAGGCCUCUUCCACGAUAGCUUCUCGUGGGCCCCUUCCGGUCUGCACACAGGUGGCGGUGUGUACGGCAUAGCCCGAAUGCGGGGCUCACACGCAGUCCCCGGGGAUAAGAAAGGGACCUACUCCAGCUGGGAGGGUGCGGAGGGAGAGGAAGUGUGCAGGCCCCCGAGGCUGUGUGAACCACCUCUCUUCUCUUCCUGCUUGCCUGGCCUGAGUCGCAGCCACAUCCAGGUGCCCGGAAGCAGAUGUAUGGCCAGCGACGGGCACACCAUGGCAGGAGGGCCGGAGACGGGAAGUUCUGUGCUGCUGUGAGUGAAGGCCCAGCACCUUCCCGCUACAGGACAAAGCUUGGCAUCAGGGGUCCGGUUCACAGAGGGAGAGCUGGCCUGAAGGUGGCAGGGUCACUUCCACCCCCGCCCCAGAGGACUCGGCCAGAGCUGCGACCACACAGCCAGGAUGGGAUGAAAUGGACGGAUCCAGACCACCUUCCCGCAGUCGUGGGAGAAGCGAAUCAAGUUCGGACUCAGUGGCCCGGGUUUGUAAGUGGGGUGUGAGCGCCAGGGAGAAGGGACAGCAGCCGCCCUCCUGCGGCCUCAGGCCAGUGUCACAGAGUCCUGGCUUCUGAGAGGAGCGGAAGUCUGGGCUCACAUGUGAUAUCUUCCAAUCUGCAAAGACUGGGGACUCCUUUCAUUAAGAUGACAAAAUCACCCCACUGACUCUUCACAGACCAAGGCAAACCCACUCCACGCAGCUUGGGCUGGGUGGGGUUCCAGAAUCCCAAGUGGAAAAAAAAAGUGACAACAGGACCGGCCCAAGCCAGCCGGAGGCCACAGGGAGGGGUCCCGGCCUCUGGUGUCGGGGUGGACUCCGGCGCUCUCAGCGCUGGAUGGAAAGUGCUCCCCUGCACUGGGCAGGCCUCCUCGUCCCCUGCUUCCCGCUCCUCUCUGUGUCCCCACUGGGCUGGUCUCCAGGCUGUGCGUGGCUCGGGCCCGUGUGGGACCCAGGGCUGACUCUGGGCUGCUCCGAGGCAGGCAUAGGCAUCAAUGUCCCCCCUGGCCACAGGUUCCUCUCCGGCUUCUGCUCCUGGGCACUGGCAGGAGGAGGCCUGGCCUGCUGGCCCACGGGGAUUGGGUCCUGCUGCUCCUGCUCCAAAGCCUGUCCCGAAAGUCAUCAGGGAAACGAUCCAGAGGAACGACGCCUCAUCGCCCUCCACCUCUCCAGGAACUGGACUGGGACUUUGUUCCACGCCCCGCCUCACCUGGGGCCCGCGAAGACAUCCAGAGAAGCUGCAGCCACACGCUCUGAGGCAUGGGGAUGCCCCUCUCUGCCCCUCCCUGCAAACUGCAGAGGACGGCACUCGAGGGGCCGCAGCGGGACCAUCCUCCCCUCCCCUGUACCCAGAGGACAGACUUGCUCCCCUCUGUUGGGAUUUAAAAAGCCACUUCACAGAUAAAAGAAAAAACAAAUGCACAGAUCUGUAAACAGGAUCAGGCCCUCCUUGAGGCUCUGUUGAUCCCCCAGAUAUUCCCAAGUGUUGAUGUAAAUAAUGACUGCUAAAUUAAAUGUUACCA